CAGGACGAACGCUGGCGGCGUGCCUAAUACAUGCAAGUCGAACGCUUUUUCUUUCACCGGAGCUUGCUCCACCGAAAGAAAAAGAGUGGCGAACGGGUGAGUAACACGUGGGUAACCUGCCCAUCAGAAGGGGAUAACACUUGGAAACAGGUGCUAAUACCGUAUAACACUAUUUUCCGCAUGGAAGAAAGUUGAAAGGCGCUUUUGCGUCACUGAUGGAUGGACCCGCGGUGCAUUAGCUAGUUGGUGAGGUAACGGCUCACCAAGGCCACGAUGCAUAGCCGACCUGAGAGGGUGAUCGGCCACACUGGGACUGAGACACGGCCCAGACUCCUACGGGAGGCAGCAGUAGGGAAUCUUCGGCAAUGGACGAAAGUCUGACCGAGCAACGCCGCGUGAGUGAAGAAGGUUUUCGGAUCGUAAAACUCUGUUGUUAGAGAAGAACAAGGAUGAGAGUAGAACGUUCAUCCCUUGACGGUAUCUAACCAGAAAGCCACGGCUAACUACGUGCCAGC
rnacentral:rRNA from 1 species